rnacentral:rRNA from 12 species
CCAGCAGCCGCGGUAAUACGGGGGGGGCAAGUGUUAUUCGCAAUGACUGGGCGUAAAGCGUGCGUAGGCGGCUUGCAAUUAGGCCUUUUGCGAAAGGCUAGGGCUCAACCUUAGUGUGACUUUUGGCACAGCAAGCUAGAGUUUGGUAGGGGUUGGUAGAAUUCUCAGAAGAGGGGUACAAUCCAGGGACACUGAGACGAAUACCUAGGGCGAAGGCAGCCAACUGGACCAUACUGACGCUAAAGCACGGAAGCGUAGGUAGCAAAUAGGAUUAGAUACCCUAGUAGUCUACGCCGUCAACGAUGGGUAUUGGCAAUUAAAUUGCUAAGCUAACGCGUUAAAUACCCCGCCUGGGGAGUACGGUCGCAAGAUUAAAACUUAAAGGAAUUGACGGGAGCUUGCGCAAGCGGUGGGGCAUGCGGUUUAAUCCGAUAUUACACGUAAAAUCUUACCAACCCUUGAACAAACAGGUGUUGCAUGGCUGUCGUCAGCCCGUGUCGUAAGAUGUUUGGUUAACUCCUUUAACGGGCGUAACCCCUCUCUUCGGAGCACCGCUGUUGAAAUAACAGGGGGAGGUAGGGAUCACGCCAAGUCGUCAUGGCCCUGAUGGGUUGGGCUACACAUGUGUCACAUAGUUGCAUACAGCGAGAGGCAAAGACAAAAGUCAGAGCAAUCUAUAACGUGCAACCCAGUUCGGAUUAUCUCCUGCAACUCGGAGAUAUGAAGGCGUAAUCGCUAGUAAUCGCGUAUCAUAAUGGCGCGGUGAAUACGUGAUCAAGCUUUGUACACACCGCCCGUCACGCCCGGAAAGUCAGCUUUGCUUGAAUGGUUC